rnacentral:rRNA from 1 species
GAUGAACGCUGGCGGCGUGCCUAAUACAUGCAAGUCGAGCGAACAGACGAGGAGCUUGCUCCUCUGACGUUAGCGGCGGACGGGUGAGUAACACGUGGAUAACCUACCUAAAAGACUGGGAUAACUUCGGGAAACCGGAGCUAAUACCGGAUAAUAUAUUGAACCGCAUGGUUCAAUAGUGAAAGACGGUUUUGCUGUCACUUAUAGAUGGAUCCGCGCCGCAUUAGCUAGUUGGUAAGGUAACGGCUUACCAAGGCAACGAUGCGUAGCCGACCUGAGAGGGUGAUCGGCCACACUGGAACUGAGACAGGGUCCAGACUCCUACGGGAGGCAGCAGUAGGGAAUCUUACGCAAUGGGCGAAAGCCUGACGGAGCAACGCCGCGUGAGUGAUGAAGGUCUUCGGAUCGGAAAACUGUGUUAUUAGGGAAGAACAAAUGUGUAAGUAACUAUGCACGUCUUGACGGUACCUAAUCAGAAAGCCACGGCUAACUACGUG